GACGAACGCUGGCGGCGUGCUUAACACAUGCAAGUCGAACGAAGUGGCGAACGGGUGAGUAACGCGUAAUCAACCUGCCCUUCAGAGGGGGACAACAGUUGGAAACGAAUGCUAAUACCGAAUAGUGACGUAGGUGAUUGCGUCGGAUUAGCUAGUUGGCGGGGUAACGGCCCACCACGGCGAUGAGCAGUAGCCGGUCUUGGAGGAUGAACGGCCACAUUGGGACUGAGACACGGCCCAGACUCCGACGGGAGGCAGCAGUGGGGAAUCUUCCGCAAUGGACGAAAGUCUGACGGAGCAACGCCGGGUGAGUGAUGACGGCCUUCGGGUUGUAAAGCUCUGUUAAUCGGGACGCGGUACCGGAAUAGAAAGCCACGGCUAACUACGUGCCAGCAGCCGCGGUAAUUC
rnacentral:rRNA from 1 species